CCAGACUCCUACGGGAGGCAGCAGUGGGGGAUAUUGCACAAUGGGGGAAACCCUGAUGCAGCGACACCGCGUGGGUGAAGAAGCGCUUCGGCGUGUAAAGCCCUAUCAGUGGGGAAGAAAAAGGACGGUACCCAAAGAAGAAGCACCGGCUAAAUACGUGCCAGCAGCCGCGGUAAUACGUAGGGAGCAAGCGUUGUCCGGAAUUACUGGGUGUAAAGGGAGCGUAGGCGGGAAUGCAAGUUGGAAGUGAAAGGUAUGGGCUCAACCCAUGAACUGCUUUCAAAACUGUAUUUCUUGAGUGAAGUAGAGGCAGGCGGAAUUCCUAGUGUAGCGGUGAAAUGCGUAGAUAUUAGGAGGAACACCAGUGGCGAAGGCGGCCUGCUGGGCUUUAACUGACGCUGAGGCUCGAAAGCGUGGGUAGCAAACAGGAUUAGAUACCCCAGUACU
rnacentral:rRNA from 1 species